UACAGAGGUCUCAAGCGUUGUUCGGAUUCAUUGGGCGUAAAGGGUGUGUAGGUGGCGCCGUAAGUCGGGUGUGAAAUUUCGGAGCUUAACUCCGAAACUGCAUUCGAUACUGCGGUGCUUGAGGACUGGAGAGGAGACUGGAAUUCAUGGUGUAGCAGUGAAAUGCGCAGAUAUCAGGAAGAACACCCGUGGCGAAGGCGGCUCUCUGGUACGUGACUGACGCUGAGACGCGAAAGCGUGGGGAGCAAACAGG
rnacentral:rRNA from 1 species